rnacentral:rRNA from 1 species
ACGGAAGGCAGCAGUGAGGAAUAUUGCACAAUGGGGGAAACCCUGAUGCAGCGACGCCGCGUGAGUGAAGAAGUAUUUCGGUAUGUAAAGCUCUAUCAGCAGGGAAGAAAAUGACGGUACCUGAAUAAGAAGCCCCGGCUAACUACGUGCCAGCAGCCGCGGUAAUACGUAGGGGGCAAGCGUUAUCCGGAUUUACUGGGUGUAAAGGGAGCGUAGACGGCAUGGCAAGUCUGAAGUGAAAGCUCGGGGCUCAACCCCGGAACUGCUUUGGAAACUGUCAAGCUGGAGUACCGGAGAGGUAAGCGGAAUUCCUAGUGUAGCGGUGAAAUGCGUAGAUAUUAGGAGAAACACCAGUGGCGAAGGCGGCUUACUGGACGGUAACUGACGUUGAGGCUCGAAAGCGUGGGGAGCAAACAGGAUUAGAUACCCUGGUA